AGUGAACGCUGGCGGCGUGCUUAACACAUGCAAGUCGAACGAGAACGGGUUAUAGCUUGCUAUAAUUGUCAGCUAAGUGGCGCACGGGUGAGUAAUGUAUAGGUAAUAUGCCUCUUACUAAUGGAUAACAAAUGGAAACGUUUGCUAAUACCUUAUACUCCUUAUUAACAUAAGUUAAUAAGGGAAAGAUUUAUUGGUAAGAGAUUAGCCUGUAUUGUAUCAGUUAGUUGGUGGGGUAAUGGCUUACCAAGACUAUGACACAUAACUGGUUUGAGAGGAUGAUCAGUCACACUGGAACUGAGACACGGUCCAGACUCCUACGGGAGGCAGCAGUGGGGAAUAUUGCACAAUGGACGAAAGUCUGAUGCAGCAACGCCGCGUGGAGGAUGACACAUUUCGGUGCGUAAACUCCUUUUAUAUGAGAAGAUAAUGACGGUAUUAUAUGAAUAAGCACCGGCUAACUCCGUGCCAGCCGCCGCCGUAAGAC
rnacentral:rRNA from 1 species